UUGAACGCUGGCGGCAGGCCUAACACCUGCAAGUCGAACGGUAACAGGGAUCAGCUUGCUGAUUCGCUGACGAGUGGCGGACGGGUGAGUAAUGUCUGGGAAACUGCCUGAUGGAGGGGGAUAACUACUGGAAACGGUAGCUAAUACCGCAUAACGUCGCAAGACCAAAGAGGGGGACCUUCGGGCCUCUUGCCAUCGGAUGUGCCCAGAUGGGAUUAGCUAGUAGGUGGGGUAACGGCUCACCUAGGCGACGAUCCCUAGCUGGUCUGAGAGGAUGACCAGCCACACUGGAACUGAGACACGGUCCAGACUCCUACGGGAGGCAGCAGUGGGGAAUAUUGCACAAUGGGCGCAAGCCUGAUGCAGCCAUGCCGCGUGUAUGAAGAAGGCCUUCGGGUUGUAAAGUACUUUCAGCGGGGAGGAAGGGAGUAAAGUUAAUACCUUUGCUCAUUGACGUUACCCGCAGAAGAAGCACCGGCUAACUCCGUG
rnacentral:rRNA from 1 species